GACACAGCUUCCAGCAGCUCCUUCCUCCGAACAACGGCUUCUUUUUUACUGAGGAGAUGAAGGUGAAGAACCUUGAUGAUCUCUGGCAGCAGGUGAGCCGGGUCUCUGGGGCUCAGCAGGUACAACAGAACCUUUUUACCGUAUUUGUUGUUGAUGACCUCGUCCAGAGACGACAGGAUCUCCUGCACAGGAGUCAGACCACGUUCAGGGACCACAUUCAGAGACCAGAGACCACAGAUCAGUCUGAGGACUUCAUGAUAGAAAAACUGUAGUAUUAUAUUUUCUAAGUCCAUCAUUGUUCAACACAAUAAUAAACAUGUAAAUGAGACGUACCGACAAAA